rnacentral:lncRNA from 1 species
GGGCUUCUAAACAUUAGAUCACUCUCACCCAAAGCAGUUAUUGUAAAUGAAAUUAUCACAGAUAAUAGUUUUGAUGUACUCUUGCUUGACUGAAACCUGGCUAAACCAAAUGAUUAUAUUGGUCUAAAUGAGUCUACUCUACCAAGCUACUGUUAUAAGCAUGAGCCCCGUCAGACUGGUCAUGGUGGCAGUGUUGCAACAAUAUAUAGUGAUAUUCUCAAUGUUACUCAGAAGACAGGAUACAGGUUUAACUCAUUCGAAAUACUUAUGCUUAAUGUUACACUGUCAGAUAUGCAAAAGAGAUGUAUCGUAUCUCUUGCUACUGUGUAUAGACCACCAGGGCCGUAUACAGAUUUCCUUAAAGAAUUUGCAGAUUUCCUCUCAGACCUAUUGGUUACUGUUGAUAAAGCGCUAAUUGUCGGAGAUUUUAAUAUUCACGUUGAUAAUACAAAUGAUGCAUUAGGACUUGCGUUUACUGACCUAAUAAACUCUUUUGGAGUCAAGCAAAAUGUUACCGGGCCCACUCAUCGUUUUAAUCAUACGCUAGAUUUAAUUAUAUCGCAUGGAAUUGAUCUUACUGAUAUAGAUAUCGUACCUCAAAGCGAUGAUGUUACUGACCAUUUCCUUGUAUCGUGCAUGCUGCGUAUUACUGAUAUUAACUAUAUGGCUCCGUGUUAUCGUCCGGGCAGAACUAUUGUUCCAGGCACCAAAGACAGAUUCACAAAUAACCUGCCUGAUUUAUCUCAACUGCUCUGUGUACCAAUAAGUACACAUGAACUAGAUGAAAUAACUAGCAACAUGGGCACUAUCUUCUCUAAUACAUUAGAAGCUGUUGCCCCCAUCAAAUUGAAAAAGGUUAGAGAAAAACGUACUGCGCCAUGGUACAACAGUAAUACCCAUUCUCUCAAGAAAAAAACUCGUAGUCUUGAGCGCAAAUGGAGAAAAACUAACUUGGAAGUUUUUAGAAUUGCGUGGAAAAACAGUAUGUCCAGCUAUAGACAGGCUCUAAAAGCUGCCAGGGGCAAGCA